UCCUGUGCUCAGCGGUCUUAAGAACAAUAAUAACGACAACAACCACAAUAGCCACCAUUUAUUGAGCGCUUGCUCUGUGCCAGGCACUGUGUUAAGCGCUUUGCAGGCAACAACCCUCGGAGGUUUUUCCUGUCCCCGCACUGAUCGUUGGUCACCUUUUGAGAGAAAAGAACACUGAUCCCAUUAAAAGGCCCUGUUGUUUGCCAGAUGAGGUCACCAGACUGGUAAGUAGCAAGGCUGGGACUCCACUAGGAAUAUCUGACUUUAAAAGCCAUGUUCCUGUCACCCAGAAUGCACAUGCUGAUGCAGCUGAACAGAAGAGGUAAGAGACAAACCAUGCCAAACACAAACCAAGAUUUGCCCUAAGAGUGCUCAGAAAUACCACAUGUGAAUCAGGGGCUUCAAUAACUUUCUGAGCCUCAAUCUGGGACUCUGUCUAAAACAGAAAAACAAACCUCAAAGUGCAAUGAGAGAAGAAUAGGAAUGAGGCAUUUAGCUUUCCCUUGGAAGAGCAGCUGGAGAGGCCCACUCACUUUCUAUGUCUGGGCUCUGAGGAAAUAAAGGUGGUUCUAGGAAAAUCUGAAAAGUAAGAGAGGAAAAAAAAAAAAUCCCUUCUGUGGUUUUUUCUUUAACCAAGCCUCAUUUUGCUAUUUGUGUUUUAUUUUAAAACUAAUGUGGCUCUCCCCACCCUUUAAAUUGGCACGUAAAUAGCAAAAACAGAAGGAAGGCCAGCUACAAACUUCAAAUGUGGUGGGUUUCUCAGGAAGGAGGUACAUGACUUGAAGUGGAAAUGAGGAUUAAAUGAGGUGCCUUAAACAUUUCAAAGACAGACUUUCCACAAGGACUGUGGAUCAUAAGCCUUUAGAACAGGAGCUUUGUCUGGGUUUGGGCUCAGUAGAGUGUCGAGAAUUUGUGAGUGCCCCAAAAUGUGGAAAACGAAUCACACUUCUAGUGUCUGUCUGCAUCAUCUAAUCAUCUCGGCCACCGCUCUGCUUACUGCUUUAAAGGUUGGCUUCUGGAGGAUUUUCCUGUUCUCAGAUGUCAGACACACAUCCUCCCUCAGACCCCUUACUUUUCCAGAAGUUUGCUCUGGGAAUUCAGUCAAGGUGAGGCAAUGGUUGAUGAUAUCACUAGGCUUGUUUGAAGAGAUUGACAGGCCAGCUCUGGAAUCACCAACUGGAGGUUUUUCCAAACUGGGAAACCAAAGCAGAAGGGACUUCAUGAGACUUGUCACUAACAGUUCUGAUUUUCUUGCCCUAUGUCUUUGAACUAGAAGGAUUCCCCUCUUACCCAACACAAGAGAGACCUGAAUAUCCCAGGCUGCCUCUUGCAAAAUUCUUGCACCUCUUCGACCUUCCUUGCUGCUGCUUCCCUCAUUCUUUCAGUGCGUUCAUUCUACAAACAUGCGACGAGGGCCCAUGAUGUGUAGAUCCUAGUGGCAGAGCAGAGAACCUAACAUGAGCUCAGAAGCUUACUUUCUCCCAUUCCCUCCUGGUUUCUAACCUCAUGGCUUCAACUUCCACACCUGGAGAGGUCCCAUGAUGGUAAAUGACUUGCUUCUCCAGGUAAGGACUGCUGCUCAGACAUACCUGACAUUCUACCAGCUCCUUCGGCCGCUCUCUGAGAUCAUACCCUGGGACCCUGACACCACAGUGAUGACACCGAUUUGGUAGAAGGUUUGGGUCCUGAGAUACCUUCAGAAGCAGGGCUCAGAAAUGCUCCAGCUCCAGCAUUUGCCCUUGCUCCUCCCCAUCCCUUUCCAGUUGCCACUCCAGUUUAUAAGAUCGCUGUUUUCCAAAAUAGCACAGGCUAUAUUUAUGAAGCAUCUAUUAUGAUGAAAAAUCCUGUAGUGCCAUAAUACCCUACUGUCCAAAGGAAAAUGUUGGCUUAAACAAACAACAGUGACUAUCUGGCAAA